rnacentral:snRNA from 1 species
GUGCUCGCUUCGGCAGCACAUAUACUAAAAUUGGAACGAUACAGAGAAGAUUAGCAUGGCCCCUGCACACGGAUGACACACAAAUUUGUGAAGCGGUUCAUAUUUUU